UGCCGAUAAAGGUAAACCCGCCGAAAGGCGGGGGCGCAAAGCCUAAGGCCUAAACCCUUUUAGCUAAUGGCUAAGGGCAGGGCAGCUGGGUUGCCGAA
rnacentral:ncRNA from 1 species